rnacentral:rRNA from 1 species
UACGGAGGAUCCAAGCGUUAUCCGGAAUCAUUGGGUUUAAAGGGUCCGUAGGUUGAUAAUUAAGUCAGAGGUGAAAUCUUGCAGCUCAACUGUAAAAUUGCCUUUGAUACUGGUUAUCUUGAGUUAUUAUGAAGUAGUUAGAAUAUGUAGUGUAGCGGUGAAAUGCAUAGAUAUUACAUAGAAUACCAAUUGCGAAGGCAGAUUACUAAUAAUCAACUGACACUGAUGGACGAAAGCGU